AGAGUUUGAUCAUGGCUCAGGACGAACGCUGGCGGCGUGCCUAAUACAUGCAAGUCGAGCGGACUUUAAAGGAGCUUGCUCCUUUAAAGUUAGCGGCGGACGGGUGAGUAACACGUGGGCAACCUGCCCUGCAGAUGGGGAUAACUCCGGGAAACCGGGGCUAAUACCGAAUGAUCGAUACCUCCGCAUGGAGGUAUCCUAAAAGAUGGUUUCGGCUAUCACUGCAGGAUGGGCCCGCGGCGCAUUAGCUUGUUGGUGGGGUAAUGGCCUACCAAGGCGACGAUGCGUAGCCGACCUGAGAGGGUGAUCGGCCACACUGGGACUGAGACACGGCCCAGACUCCUACGGGAGGCAGCAGUAGGGAAUCUUCCGCAAUGGACGAAAGUCUGACGGAGCAACGCCGCGUGAGCGAAGAAGGCCUUCGGGUCGUAAAGCUCUGUUGUAAGGGAAGAACAAGUGCCAUUUAACUGAUGGCACCUUGACGGUACCUUGCGAGAAAGCCACGGCUAACUACGUGCCAGCAGCCGCGGUAAUACGUAGGUGGCAAGCGUUGUCCGGAUUUAUUGGGCGUAAAGCGCGCGCAGGCGGUCCUUUAAGUCUGAUGUGAAAGCCCACGGCUCAACCGUGGAGGGUCAUUGGAAACUGAGGGACUUGAGUGCAGAAGAGGAAAGCGGAAUUCCACGUGUAGCGGUGAAAUGCGUAGAGAUGUGGAGGAACACCAGUGGCGAAGGCGGCUUUCUGGUCUGUAACUGACGCUGAGGCGCGAAAGCGUGGGGAGCAAACAGGAUUAGAUACCCCCGUAGUCC
rnacentral:rRNA from 1 species